rnacentral:rRNA from 1 species
AUUGAACGCUGGUGGCAUGCCUUACACAUGCAAGUCGAACGGUAACAGGUCUUCGGAUGCUGACGAGUGGCGAACGGGUGAGUAAUACAUCGGAACGUGCCUAGUAGUGGGGGAUAACUACUCGAAAGAGUGGCUAAUACCGCAUGAGAUCUAUGGAUGAAAGCAGGGGAUCGCAAGGCCUUGUGCUACUAGAGCGGCCGAUGGAAGAUUAGGUAGUUGGUGGGAUAAAAGCUUACCAAGCCGACGAUCUGUAGCUGGUCUGAGAGGACGAUCAGCAACACUGGGACUGGGACACGGCCCAGACGCGUGCGGGAGGCAGCAGUGGGGAAGUUUGGACAAUGAGCGAACUCCUGAUCCAUCAUUGCCUCGGGCAGUGUGAAGGCCUUCGGGUUGUAAACUGCAUUUGUACGGAACGAAAAGCCCCGGGUUAAUACCCUGGUGUCAUGACGGUACCGUAAGAAUAAGCACCGGCUAACUACGUGCCAGCCGCCGCCGUAA